rnacentral:miRNA from 1 species
CAAGAUACCGGCACGAUGCAGAUC